rnacentral:lncRNA from 1 species
GCUGCUGCAUGGGCGCCUAGCGCCCACUUCCAGGGAGCUGGCGCCUCUGAGGUGAUCUUCUAGCGCCUAGCGCCUGCUGGCCUCGCAAGAAUCGAUCAGCAAACUUCAACAAAAGAUGUAUCCGUCCACUUGGAAGCUUUCUCGUGACCUACCUUUUAUCCAUCUCCAUUCCUACAUAACCAAACAUACUCGGAGCAAGUCAAAUGUUCAAAAAUCAUGCAAUAAAUUGCAGAGGAGAUCAGCUUAGUAAAACAAUCAGAAAACACAAAAUAAGGAGAAAUAUGUUAUGCAAUCACUCAAAAGAAACUUGAUUUAGAGGUAAAAUUGAAGGUAAUAACCUACAUUUUUGUCGGUUAUCACAACCCCAAACUUAAACAUUGCUCGACCUCGAGUGAUGCAAAUGAAAAGCAUUGACUGUCAGUUCCGAAUUCCUAGCAUAAUAUGAAGACAACAGGUAUUGAGUAAAUUUUUUUAGUUGGAUUGCCCUCAGGUAUGGUUACUAAAGCAAGCAUCUAAGUCAUCCCAUGACGGAACAGCUUGGAUCAUUCCCCACAUAGGUAUAUGGUGUGUGUGUGCAGUUCACUUUCUUCCUAUUCCUGUGUAAAUAGCAUCACAAAGAAUAACCCUAAUCAUGCCACUAAACAUAUGAAUCAAAUGACCAUUUUAUUUCACAUAAGCUAGAUGGGAAUUUGUCUUAUUAUUGUGCUUCCCACACUAAUUUAUGCUCCUCUAUGUGCAUUUCAGACUUAUAUUUACCAACAUGAUUUUUGUUAUUCCUUACUAUGCAAAUUUCCACUCUCACUCAAAGUUGCAACUUCGAGUAAUUACCAAAUGGGAUUUUUCACAAGGCUGCAUCGUAGCGGGACUAACAGAGCCUACUAAUUCACCAUAAAAGUCAUCAUCGGAUCCUAACUCAACCUGAAUAAAAUACUUGACUCAAAAGAUAAUUGCUACAAAUAAGAACUGACAAAAACUACUUUGACCUAUAACUCCUAACCCCUCCCCCAAACUAGAGUUGAGCUGUGUAAACAAAACUCAAAUUCAAAGUUUGUAAAAAGGAGUUGUGUUUCUACGAAGACAGAAAUGACACAGAAAAUAAGUGCACUAAUUGUAAGUUCUAAACAGGAAAAUAAAAGAUAAAGAGUUGAGA